rnacentral:tRNA from 1 species
GCCUUUGUAACUCAGAUAGGUAGAGUAUUUGCAUGGUAAGCAAAAAGUCGCCGGUUCAAAUCCGGUCUUAGGCU